AGUAGUUUGAUGUAAAUAAGAUUUUUUUCAAUUUAUUUAAACUUAAGAUAUUUUUUGAUAUUAAUAAGUAAUGGUAAUAAGUAACUAUUUUCUCUAUUUUGAUCCUCUGAAACCAUUGCCAAUUUAUAAAAAGGGUUUUAGGGGGUCUUUUACUAAAGUUCAGAAAAUAUCUAGUCGAGCACCUCCGAUAAAUGCACUCUGACACCUCUUAAUGUUUGACCGUGCAUUCCCAUGACAGCUAAUGAUACAGGGGCCCGAUCCAGCCAGUUCUGACAUAUGUACUGUAUGCAACAAAAAGAGCCACUAAUGCAGAGUUUUAUGAAGAUAGCUUUAAAACUGAGAUAUAAGUUCGCAUGGAAACUUCGCAUAUUGUUUGACAAAUUAUAUUAUUUUAUAUAAUUAAACAAACAAAAAUUGUGGUGUUAUUAAAAGGCGGCUUAUGUGGUUAAGUGCGUAUCGCUUUGAUAUAAUUUGGCAACUAACUCUUAACCCUACAUUACGCUAACACUGCGAAGCGAGGAGAAUUCUCUCCCAGAGCGAGUGAUGAAGCUUAUUGCGCUCUCGCUCCGCCCUAAACCUAACUUACACUAGACUUCAUGUUUUAAAUUCAUUUUAUAAAGCAAUGCGCGAAUCUGCACCAGCACCGGCCACCAUGAAGCGAUUGGGAGCUUCACUCCACAGGCAGCCGAGCCAACUUGUGGAUGCUCUUUUAAAUUGUCCGCCAUUAGUCUUCCUGAUAUCUGCCACUUUAACGACGCUGUCCUCUCCUGCGUGCACUGCCGAUAAUCUGCCGAUGAGCCACUUAUGGGGAUGCAGAUUGUCCUCGGCGACGACCUUCAGCUCUCCAACGAUGACGUUUGGCAGGCGAUGGUGCCUCUUGCUCUGUACUUGGAGACUGAGCACAUACUAUUUGACCAUCGCCGUAAAAACUGUUGCUUCAACGAGACAGCUUGCCAUGCAAAAAUGAAGAGAGCAAAGUAAGAUCACUAAAUACGGUGCGUAAUCAAAAUAUCUUGAAUGACAAACAAGUUGUCCAUACAACUUAAUAUUCGUCCGAUAUAUAGCUUCAAAAGCUUUUCUAAAGUAACUUUCAAGACGAACAGACGUACCAGCUAAGCAGAAUAAAAGAUAAUUGGUGUCUAGAAAUGAUUUUAAUCCGUGUCCGGAAAAUUCACGAGUCACAAUAAGACCAUGGAAAAACAUUAAUAUACAGUGCCAGUCCUUCCACAGACCUGGCACUAACCACAUUGUUCAUUUGAGUGCCUAGCGGAGUAUCUGCAGGAGUGAGGUCCAGCAACAACUGAGUGGCAACUAAAAUUACCAUGGACCACUAAGUAUACGGGUCCAGCAAGUCAACUACAUAAUAAGAACCCACGAAUUCAAUUGUCCACCUAACAAACCCACGCUUGCCACCGAAAAUGGUCUAAUGACCCAGAAACGAAUAAUAAUUAACCGUACUAAAUAAAUAAAAGUGGGCUACAAAUGCCUUAAAUGCUUAAAA